AUUGAACGCUGGCGGCAGGCCUAACACAUGCAAGUCGAACGAGUGGCGGACGGGUGAGUAAUGUCGGGGAAACUGCCCGAUGGAGGGGGAUAACUACUGGAAACGGUAGCUAAUACCGCAUACCAUCGGAUGUGCCCAGAUGGGAUUAGCUAGUAGGUGGGGUAACGGUUCACCUAGGCGACGAUCCCUAGCUGGUCUGAGAGGGUGACGACCCAAACGGGAGAUGAGACACGGUGAAAGCGCCUACGAUAGGGGGCAGUGGGGAAUAUUGCACAAUGGCCGAAAGCCUGAUGAAGCGAUGGCGCGCGUAUGAGGAGGGCAUGAGGGUUUUAAAGUACUUUCAGUGAGUAGGCGUUAGUUGCAGAAGAAGCACCGGCUGACUCCGUGCCAGCAGCCGCGGUAAUUC
rnacentral:rRNA from 1 species